rnacentral:lncRNA from 1 species
CAGCUCUAUAUCGGGUGUUCAUAAAAAUAGUGACCGGUCUGAGUAUCAAUAAAAAUUUUGUUCCUGAUAAAAGUACAGCAAUUUUAUCCGAUAUGUUGACGUAACUUUUGUUGUGAGAACAUCAUUCAAUCGUUAAAUUAUAAAACUGACAUUUUUAUAAAAAAUAAUACUUAUCAGUUAUUUUAUGUGAAUAAUAUAUUUCGACGAAUUUGUUUAGAAUACAUAAUUGUGCUGUCGCACAUGUUGAAAUUAUUCUAUCAAUUUCUACUCGAGAUUGAGCAGCUUGCUUAAAUAAAUAUUUUCUAGAAAUAGUUUUUCAAAUGAGUAUCAUAUAAAUUGUGUAUUAUACACAAACAAGAUGCCAGGAAGAUUUUUAAUUGCUGGACAGAGAUUGAGGUGGGUUCAACAUUGUUGUACAUCAUAUUUAUACAAGAAUGCAAUUAAAAACUCGCAUAUUCAUAGUACAGCACAAUAUUGUUUUUACGUGAAAGACAAAGAUAGAGAUUUAUCACAGAUAAAGAAGUACAAAAAUAUAGCAGACAAAAACAUUUUAAAUG